AACGGUAACAGGCCUUCGGGCGCUGACGAGUGGCGGACGGGUGAGUAACGCGUAGGAAUCUGCCUUAUAGUGGGGGACAACGUGGGGAAACCCACGCUAAUACCGCAUACGCCCUACGGGGGAAAGCGGGGGAUCGUAAGACCUCGCGCUAUGAGAUGAGCCUGCGUUAGAUUAGCUAGUUGGUAGGGUAAAGGCCUACCAAGGCGACGAUCUAUAGCUGGUCUGAGAGGACGAUCAGCCACACUGGGACUGAGACACGGCCCAGACUCCUACGGGAGGCAGCAGUGGGGAAUAUUGGACAAUGGGCGCAAGCCUGAUCCAGCAAUACCGCGUGUGUGAAGAAGGCCCUAGGGUUGUAAAGCACUUUCAAUGGGGAGGAAAACCUGCCGGUCAAUACCCGGUAGCUUGACAUUACCUAUAGAAGAAGCACCGGCUAACUCCGUGCCAGCAGCCGCGGUAAUACGGAGGGUGCGAGCGUUAAUCGGAAUUCUGGGCGUAAAGCGUGCGUAGGCGGUUCGUUAAGUCAGAUGUGAAAGCCCUGGGCUCAACCU
rnacentral:rRNA from 1 species